rnacentral:rRNA from 1 species
GACAGAGGGUGCAAACGUUGCUCGGAAUUACUGGGCGUAAAGCGCGUGUAGGUGGAUUGGUGUGUCAGAUGUGAAAUCCCUGGGCUCAACCCAGGAACUGCACCUGAAACCACCAGUCUUGAGUGGUGGAGAGGGAAGUGGAAUUCCUGGUGUAGAGGUGAAAUUCGUAGAUAUCAGGAGGAACACCAGUGGCGAAGGCGGCUUCCUGGACACCAACUGACGCUGAGACGCGAAAGCGUGGGGAGCAAACAGG